rnacentral:rRNA from 1 species
AGUGUAGGUGGCUCAUUAAGUCACAUGUGAAAUCCCCGGGCUUAACCUGGGAACUGCAUGUGAUACUGGUGGUGCUAGAAUAUGUGAGAGGGAAGUAGAAUUCCAGGUGUAGCGGUGAAAUGCGUAGAGAUCUGGAGGAAUACCGAUGGCGAAGGCAGCUUCCUGGCAUAAUAUUGACACUGAGAUUCGAAAGCGUGGGUAGCAAAC